GAAAAGACUCUGGUGAAAAGAUUCAGGUGAAAAGAUUCAGGUGAAAAGACUCAUGGUGAAAGACUCAGGUGAAAAGACUCAGGUGAAAAGACUCAGGUGAAAAGGCUCAGGUGAAAAGGCUCAGGUGAAAAGACAAAAGUACAAAAGUAUCAUGAGAGAGCUGAUGGGCAUAUAUCAUAUAUGAAUGAGAACAGUAUUGUAUACAAAGCACUGUUUACCUUCUUUAUUUUUUUGGUUUUCAGAAUUGGACACCUCAAAUAGUAGUAGAUUUUAGUACACAUUUGAUGCAUUGAUGUAUUGUGUAAUAAUGCAAAAAACAAUCAUUAAACAGUAUAACCAUUUUUGGCUAAAUACA